rnacentral:sRNA from 1 species
UCAAAUUUAAAUAUUUUGGUUUCUGUUUAAAUUUGAGCAAAAAAUAUAUGCUUCAAACAUCUAAAAAGCGAUAUUAGACCAUUUAUUAUGGGGUCAAUAUAUUGACAUUCUUAUAUCAUGCCUUUCAUCCUAUAAACAUUAGUCAAAGCAUAAAACGGUCUUAAAAUUAAAAAUAUAUAAUACUAGAUAAGGCCCGCCUAAAUAGGCGGGUGUAAGAUGUAAAUGUAAUUUUUAUCGAUAAUAUUUAAAUUUUGAAUAGUAAAAUAAUAAUCGAUACAUUGUUCUUGAUAUAUAAUUUUGAAUAGUAAAAUAGUAGUCUUAUACAUUUUAUUUUGUUAUACCCAUUCAAUCUUAUUGAUGAUAUUUGAAGUAUAAAUAGUAACCUACACACUUUUUUUUAUAUUAUAAUUUAGUAUUUAGAAGAAAAAAUAAAU